CGGUACCUAGGGGCGCAGCAGUAGGGAAUCUUCCACAAUGGGCGAAAGCCUGAUGGAGCAACGCCGCGUGGGUGAAGAAGGUCUUCGGAUCGUAAAACCCUGUUGUUAGAGAAGAAAGUGCGUGAGAGUAACUGUUCACGUUUCGACGGUAUCUAACCAGAAAGCCACGGCUAACUACGUGCCAGCAGCCGCGGUAAUACGUAGGUGGCAAGCGUUAUCCGGAUUUAUUGGGCGUAAAGGGAACGCAGGCGGCCUUUUAAGUCUGUUGUGAAAGCCUUCGGCUUAACCGGAGUAGUGCAUUGGAA
rnacentral:rRNA from 1 species